rnacentral:piRNA from 1 species
UAUCUACUUUUUCCCUUAAUAGCUCUGC